GGUAAUCAGGAUGGCAGUGAGGCAGGCACUUGCUUGCAGAAGAACAGGCCUAGUUUUUUAAGAAGCCACAAAAGUGUCUUUGGAUGAUUAGGAUCUAAGGGGCCAACAGCUUUGCAAUAACAGCAUAAAUAUUGUGGGCUGGAUGGACAGGCACCAAAUGGGGACAUUCCAUCCUGCUGUGUGAUGAGAAAGCUGCCACUUUUGAGGCCUUCCAAAACAAAUCAACACUCCAUAUGCCAGAAGGAAAAGCCCAGGAAAGACCUAUUCCAACUGGAGAUGGAAUACGAAGGGAGAAUGAAACAAAACUGCUCCGCUUAGGGAACUUGGAAAGGAAAUUGAAAAGGCAAGGCACAGGCUGGAAGAAAAUAUUUGAAAAAGAUUUAUGUGAACUUCUUUCUGGAUUAUACAAAAUAUUUUUAGAUAUUCUUACAACUCUAAAAUAAGAUAACUCCUUAAAAAUCUAAAUUCUACCAAAGGAGAGAUAAAGAUGACGAAUACAUUCAAAGAUGCUGAAAAUCACUUAUUUAUUAUUAGGAAGUUACAAGCUAAAGCAUAAUGAGAUACCACUACAACCUACUAAACUGACUAAAAUUAAUCAGACUAACCAGGUGUUGGCAAGAAACAGGGACACUGAGACUCUCACACUGCUGGAAGGAAUGUAAAAUGCUAAAACUUCUUUGGAAAUGAGUUCAGUAACUUUUUAAACAGUUGAAAAUAGACCUAUCAUGCAAACCAGCAAUCCCACUUCCAGGUAUUUAUACAAGGAAAAUGACAACAUAUGCCCACAUAAAGACUUGUGCACAAAUGACCGUAGCAGCUUUGUGAUAAUUGCUAAAAACUAGAAACUUGUCAAGUGUCCAACAGUUGACAUGCAGGCUGGACAUACAGUGGGCCUCGAUUGCUUAGAAGCCAAACUGAACUCACCAAGAAAAGAAGACAGGAGAAACUUCUCAAGAGGAAUAUCUCCAAAUUGCAGGAUCGAAUACCAUAAGAGGAAUUCUGGACUGAAGAGUUAUGAAGUCAUUUCAGACACUUCCAGACAAUUUGUGUUAAUUAAAUUCUCACUGGUUGAGUUCCAUUCUACACUGGAAGAGCAUUUUUCCUGGAAAGGCUCCUCAAAAUGUACCUUUGGCAAACACAGAGAGGUAUGCUCAUAGAAGAGGUGAGUUUGGAACUGCAAAUCCUCCCAGCCUCAGGACCUCUCUUUUGGUUGCCUGCUCUGCUACAAAGCUGGAGAUCUAAAGUGGAGGCGUGUAGAAGACACCGUCUGGCUGGACACCAUCAAGAGUCACCUCCUCAGUGAAGCCUUCCAUGGUUUCAUACCACCCAUCCCUAUCGGAAUGAAUGUAUCCUUGUUCUCCGUUAUCCCAGUAUUUUGCCUGGGCUUCUGUCACACUACUUUCAAUGUCUAUACCUCAGUUAUCGAAUCGAAAAACAAGAGUCAUCAGUCUCUAAGGUCCUUGCAAGCUUCAAAACUUUAUAUUUUUGUCAAUUACAACUGAAUAAAGCUGAACAACUUAUUAUUUAUGGAUACUUGCUCAAGCACCAUAUAACUCUUUCAGAUAUUUUAAAAGAAUAUGUUUGCAAAAGACUCCAAAUCAAUGUAUUAAAUUGAAAUCCAGUAUCAAAACACCCAUUAAAGUGCU
rnacentral:lncRNA from 1 species